rnacentral:rRNA from 1 species
GAGGAAUAUUGGACAAUGGGUGAGAGCCUGAUCCAGCCAUCCCGCGUGAAGGACGACGGCCCUAUGGGUUGUAAACUUCUUUUGUAUAGGGAUAAACCUACCCUCGUGAGGGUAGCUGAAGGUACUAUACGAAUAAGCACCGGCUAACUCCGUGCCAGCAGCCGCGGUAAUACGGAGGGUGCAAGCGUUAUCCGGAUUUAUUGGGUUUAAAGGGUCCGUAGGCGGAUCUGUAAGUCAGUGGUGAAAUCCGAUAGCUUAACUAUCGAACUGCCAUUGAUACUGCAGGUCUUGAGUAAAGUAGAAGUGGCUGGAAUAAGUAGUGUAGCGGUGAAAUGCAUAGAUAUUACUUAGAACACCAAUUGCGAAGGCAGGUCACUAUGUUUUAACUGACGCUGAUGGACGAAAGCGUGGGGAGCGAAC